ACUGGGACCCAGGCGGGCAGGGGAUGGGAUCGUUGGGUUAUCAAUCAUUGUGUGGGACAGGAUGCCACAGCUGGUGGCAGCAGAGGGGAGAGCCCAAGUAAUUGGCCUCUGUACGGUCAGGACAGCUGUUGGAGCGCUAUAGACAGUGAUUGAUUUAUCAAGGUUACAGGAGGGGCAAGGACUCAGCGGCAGGCUGAGGAGAAAGGUAUUUGUCAUACGAGAGAGAUUUGUGCCUGCAGUCGCACUAAACUUCACAGCGUUUAUUUAAUCCUUUAUAUCACUGAUAGGUUGGUGACUUCAAGUGACUUCUAGCCGACUGAACUUCCCUAUUCAAUCUGCAUUGGAGUGUGACAGAUGUGUCACUUGAGAUGGUUUCUGCUGAUAGUUGAGUGGCAGAGGAAACUACCUCUCCUAAUACUCAUGGAUAGAAACAAAUGUUCUUUUCACUCAGAUCUCUCCCUCCUCAGUGUCAGGGAUUCUUGUGGGAGAAAUAAUAACUGGCUGGUAAAACAUUCUGCUGUUUUGGGGAACUAGGUGUCACAGGUUGCUUAGAGAUGAGUUUCCUGUUUCUGUGGGUGGAAAAGAAUCUGUUAACUCUUGGCACAUUAUGUAGAUGUGAAAAGAUAUCACUGAGCAGACAAACAAAGCCAAAGCCCAAUAUAUUCCAUAGGCAGUGCUUCCUGCUCUCAGUCCCUGCUGCCCAGCUGUAGAUGUCCCUUUAUAAGCCUCUUUAAAUCAGUGUCAGACAUUCAAUUAUCUGACAUCUUAUCAUCAGUGCAGACCACAAAAAUAUCCUUGUAACCCCCUGUUUCAGGGGCCUCCAGUCUUAUGUCACCCUCUCUGACUUGGGCAGCUGGCUAGUACCCAACCUGAAACAAUCCGAGCAAGAUGGUUUUUACUAGCAAAAGGUAUUUUUCGAAAUUGUUUCUGAUUCAUCGACCCAGGGGCGACUCCAGGCACGAGCACACCAAGCGCAUGCUUGGGGCGGCAAGCCACGGGGGGCACUCUGCCGGUCACCGCGUGGGCAACAGGCAGGCUGCCUUCGGCAGCAUGCCUGUGGAGGGUCCGCUGGUCCCGCAGCUUCGGCGGACCUCCUGCAGGUUGCCACCGAAUUCGUGGGACCGGGGACCUCCUGCAGGCAAACCGCUGAAGGCAGCCUGCCUGCUGUGCUUGGGGCAGCAAAAUGCCUAGAGCCGCCCCUGCAUCCACCUGUGACUGAAAAUGCAGCUGCAUCUUACAACCUACAGUCCCACUGAAAUCUUUGGGCUACAUUAUGGCUGGGUUGCAUUUAAAUUCUUUGUAUUUCUGCUCAGCUUUCUUCAUAUAAAGGUUUAUUUCUUGUUCACCUUUGGAGUGGCUAUCUUUUGUUGUUGUUGUUGUUGUUGCUUUCUCCUUGUGGCUCUUUAAUACAGAGAACUCCUCUCUUACCCUUUUCUUAAAUGGUUCAUCAUUCAUUUUUGUUGCUAAGUGGUACAGUACCAGAUCAUAGAAUAUCAGGGUUGGAAGGGACCUCAAGAGGUCAUCUAGUCCAACUCCCUGCUCAGAGGGGGACCAAUGCCCAGACAGAUUUUUACCCCAGUUCCCUAAAUGGCCCCCUUAAGGAUUGGGCUCACAAUGCUGGGUUUAGCAGGCCAGUGCUCAACCCACUGAGCUAUCCCUCCUGCAGAUGCUGGGGGACUUGUGAAAGAAAAAAUGAUGUUUAGAAAGGUGCUAAAGAUGUCUGCAGUUUCAUUGGUUCUUCUGCCUCUUAAUUGUGUUUUGGGAGACAAAACUAACAGGUAAAAAUGGUGUUCUUCCUGCUUCCCUUUCCAACCUUCCUAAAAUAAUAAUAAUAAUUAAUUUAAAAAAUCACUGCUGUUGCACAUUGAUCUCCUUCAUAUAAAUCACAUCUGGUGUUUGGGAUAUUUUAGCCAAUCCAGAGGGCUAGGAUAUCAUUUUUGGUAGAUAAAUUUCAGAAUCUAAACCUCCUCCAAUUUUGAAGCAUUUUAGAACACUGUUUGUACUUGCCUACCCUGAAAGCUGAUCCAUACACCCUUAAUCUUAUCAGCUGUGCACUGCUCCCAGCUGGUUUCACACUGAAUAGCUGACAGGUGGGAAUCAUACAUAGGUGCUGGAACUGAGGUGCUGGCGGGGGUGUGGCAGCACCUCCUGGCUUGAAGUGGUUUCCAUUUUAUAUAUAUAAUAUAGCUUACAGUUUGGUUAAAUGGCUCUCAGCACCCCCACUCUUAAAAAUUGCUUCACCAUCCCUGGAAUUACAUUGAGGGUAGCAUGAGAAAUAUAAGAAGGAAGAGGGGCACUAUUGAUUUAAAGAAAUAUUCCUUAGAAAAAGUGAUAAAAUACAAGUCAGGACAUACUGGUAAAUAUCAGACUUACUUCAGAACUGGAUGUCACCUCUUCACCACCAAUCCUGUAUUUAUUUGUUUGAUUUUUGCCUGUGGGAAUAGAAGCAGGAAAUAAAAGGAACUGGGGCUCACUGAAGAAGGGUGAGGGGAUAGAAGGGAUCAUGUGUGUUUCCUUCCCUUGUCAUUUUCAUACAAGAUCUGGAAGCUCUCCCCAUGGAGGGAUGUGUGCAGGGAACUCCCUGCUUACUCUGAGAUAGAGGAAGUGGAAUGAAGAAGAAAGAGGUAACCAGCAGUCAGCUAAUCAGCUUGUGAGGAAGUUGGGUGGCUUUGUGAUAUGCUGACUGCCUUCUUCUCAGAGGGUGGGCUUUCUCCAAGGGAUGUAGUGGAGAUUGGCAUUCAGAGGAGGCUGUUUUUUUCUCAUUGUGAUCAGACUGUGUGCUCAACUGUGUGGUGUGUGUGUGUGUGUGUGUGUUUUUUUUUUGUUUGUUUUUGUUUUGUGUUUUUUACAAAAGGAGACUGAUCUGAAUGUACUUGCUUAAUAGCACAAUUACUUUCUCUACAGUAACACUAGUAUUGCUGGCCAGAGGUAAUAAGGAAAUCUAAAAUAAAAUUAUUUCACAAAAAAAGUACAUGGUCCCUUUAAGACUGUGGCGCAUGAUUCUUCUUUGUCAGUACUAUCGUUUCCAAAAUGUGCGUUAGAGACUUUGCCUCCAUUAGAGGUUACUGCCACUCUACAGCCGCCAGGUGAAUGAAAGGAGGUAUCCCAAUGGCUAGGGCAGUAGAAUGGACUUGGGAACACUAGUUCAAGUUCCUGCUGUCUCAGACUCCCUGUGAGACAUGGAGCAAGUUACUUAGGGCUUGGCUACACUGGAGAGUUGCAGCGCCGGUGGUGGCUUUACAGCGCUGCAACUCACUCACUGUCCACACUUGCAAGGCGCAUACAGUGCUGUAUCUCCCUGGCUACAGCGCUGGUUGUACUCCACCUCGACUUGGAGAAUAAUGACUAUAGCGCUGCUGAUGCAGCGCUGCUCCGCCAGUGUGGCCAUCAAAAGCGCUGUUACUGGCCUCCAGAGGUAUUCGGCAGUAUCCCAGAAUGCCUGUUCAGCCACUCUGCUCAUCAGUUCGAACUCUGCUGUCCUGGCCUCAGGUGACCAAGCGUCAGACCUGCCCUUUAAAUGCCCCAGGAAUUUUAAAAAUCACUUUCCUGUUUGCUCAGCCAGGUGUAGAGUGCAAUCAGUGAAUCUUUCCAGGUGACGAUGGCUCCACGUGGCAAACGAGCCACAGCAUGGAGCAAUGGCAAGUUGCUGAACCUCAUCAGUGUUUGGGGGGAGGAAGCUGUGCAGUCCCAGCUGCGCUCCAGCUGUAGAAAUUACGAUACCUAUGGGCAGAUAUCAAGGGCCAUGCUGGAAAGGGGCCAUGACCGGGACACGCUGUAGUGCAGGGUUAAAGUGAAGGAGCUGCGGAGUGCCUACUGCAAAGCCCGUGAGGGAAACUGCUGCUCCAGUGCUGCCCCGAUGACCUGCCAUUUUUACAAAGAGCUGGACGUGAUACUUGGGGGUGACCCCACCUCCACUCCAAGGACCACAAUGGACACUUCAAAGCAGGGGCAGGAGGAGGAGGAGGAAAGUGAGAGUGAGGGACUGGGGUGGAGGAGACACCCUGGAGUCCCAGGAGGCAUGCGGCCAGGAGCUUUUCUCAAGCCAAGAGGAAGGUAGCCAGUCACAGCAGCCGGUACUUGGUGGAGGACAAGCAGAGGAGCGGGUUACCGAUGCAAUCUUGACAUCUCGGCUGCCUGUGUUAUCAUCAGCUGAGAGACUUCAAAACCUCCGGAAGAAGCCACAAAAAAGCAAAGAAGACAUGCUGCAAGCAGUUAUGCAGCACUCUGUCACAGAGAAUCAAAAAGUGCAGGACUGGAGGGAAAGGGAAAGCAAGAUCCGCCAGAGAAAUGCAGCGGACAGGAAGAAAAGCACAAAGCAGCUGAUAAGCAUCCUGGAGCACCAAGCAGACUCUAUCCAGGCACUUGUAGCCAUGCAGGCGCAGCACUACCGUGCCCGCCUCCACUGCCACCCUUGUCCCAAAGCUCUUUCCCUUGUGUCCCCAUGUCAGCUCAAAAUCCCUUUCCCCAGCAUCCAGGUUCUUACCACCACCACCAGCUGCCUCCAACACUUGUACGUUCACCAGGCUGCCCUGAGAACUACGACCAUUACCCUCUGCACUCAACUCCCCUCACCAUGCAGUGUAGCCAUCCUGAAGUGCAGCAGUCUUUGCACAGCACUCCAGACAGGACAUAUUCAAACCUGUGACUGUACAGUUCCCCACCCCACCCCGCUGCCCUUUUAGGUUCCCAAAAACUUGUGUUUGUCAAUAAAGUUAUUUUCCUUUCAAUAAAUGAA